GAGAGCAUGAACUGAUGGCUGGGCUCAGGAGUGCUUAUCCUUGCAUCACAAGGUAGGGUGAGAGAAGAGUACUGAAGCUGAUAUGGAGCAACCAGGUAGUGAUAGACAUGUGGGAAGUUACUAUCUGCAGUAAGUCUUAAGCUUGAAGGAAGAGGAUGUUGUGACAUAAAGUUUUCUAUAGUUCCAGAGACUCAGUAGCUGCAGAGAAGACUCCUCUAAGUGAAGAGAGAAGUAAAACAUGUGAAACAAAGUGUCCCAAAUGCCCCCAAAAUUUCUAGCAUGGAAAGAGGCUGUAUUUGAGAACCCUGAAGAACAUGAAAUCCUCUUCAUACAGAGCUCUCAAUAUGCACAUUAGGGUGCCUGCUGCAGACCAGAAUAUUCCUGAAUUACUCACAGGUGAAGCCAGUUCAGAGAAGGACCCAAGGAAUGUGGCCACAGGUUCACACCUCAGGUUACUGAUUUGGUGCUGUUUGGUCCAGUGUUUGCAAGGACACACUUGAUGUGUCUAAUCCAUGACCACCAGAUACAUAGCUUGCUGUAGUAGUAGCAAGCUCUGCUCUCAGCUGAUUAGGCUUGCUAGUGCUAGGAUAUCAGCACAACACUUGUUUGAAUUUUUGGAAGAGAAGUAGUUCACAUGCCAUUAAGCUAAUUACUGUGUUUAUUAAGAAGUGUCAUACUAAAUCCAUCUAAGACUGAUCAUGAAUUUUAUCACAUAAUCUCAUUAAAGUGGAAGUAGAUUAGAGCAAGGGCUUUUGUUUUGGUGAUGGGUUUUUUCUACAAUGCUCAGCCUAGAGAAGCCUAAGUGCAGCUGAGUAACUUGAACAGCUUCAGCUGUGUUAGGAGAUCUCUGGGUUGGGUGUGGCAUUAAGUUGGGUUAACAAGCACAGUAGGAAAAUGGGUAACCAGCAGUCUGGUGGGAACAAGUGAACACAAUGUUAAUAGUGCAGAGGAAGAGUAGGCCUUUAGCUAUCAUUCAGUUUCUUGUCUGCUAAAGAAUAAGGUUUGAACUACUUGCACAAAAUUUGGGAGAUUUAUCAAGAUUUUCAGGAUCCCUCUUCAAGCUUGACCACAUGUUUUUGCACCUGUUUUGGCUGCAGUGUUCAGAGAUUUGUCUUGUGGGUCCAAGCAGUCCUGUCUGGAUGUGAAGUAGCUGAAGAGAUUGAUGCUGAAGGCUGAUAAUCAAAUACAAAUAGCUGUUCUCACCCCUGUUCUCACUCAGCCUCUUCUAAAGAUCAGAGCCUGCCCAGACUCAGCUGUGUUUGUCUAUUAACAGAUGAGAUUACUGCUCUGAGAUGAGGUCCUGCUCAUGCUGCACUAAAAGCUGUUUUCAUGUCACUUUACUGCAAAAGAGAGCAGCAUUAUGCCUGGACAAGGAUAUAGAAGAUGAAGCUGUGAACUGUGAUAGAAAUACAAGUUGAACUUAAUGGGAUGCACAAACAGGUCAUAUGUUUUUAGGGAAGGAACCAAAGAGAAAAAGUAGUUGCAGUAAAAAUCAGCUGCAGGAAAACAUGGAUGAGUGUUGGCAAUGAAGUCUGCUCCAGAGUGGUUUAUUGUCCUUUGCUACCUCUGAUUAGUGUGGCUUACCACACAGCUAUUGAAAGAUUCACCACCUUGAAAGAUUUUUGAUUUACACAUAAAAUAGAUGUACACAGAAGAUUUGAGGUGUUUCAGAUACUGAGUGUAUCAGCUUCCUCUGCUGAGCAGAGUCAAGGAUGGUUAUCUGCAAAUGAAGCUGAGGCAGCUGCACAGCUGCUGCAUCCUCCAAGUCGGAGUUCCUUGCUGUUGCCACCUCUUGCUGGGUGCAGCUGGGCACAUUCAAGGGUCUUGAGGAGUUUUCCUGCUUCUUUCAAGCAUUAACCUCACUUGUAAUGUCUGUGCCUCUGCUUACAGUUUUGGUGUCUCUUGAAACUGAGAAGGAGAAGCUGAUAGAAGUAAAUAGAGACUUACCCAGAAGGCGAAUUUCACAUACCCAGGCACUGGAAAUUUCUGCUUCAGUCUUCAGCUUCUCUAUCCAAACAAUGAUCGGAAAGAACAAGAAAACAGGACCUUACAAAGGGAGCAAGAGCUGGAAGAAACAUUCUCAGUGUUACUUGUUUAAUGCAACAGUGCAAUUUCUGCUCCAUCAGUCACCUGAAAUUUCCUCCCAAAACGUGUGCAGGUAAAACUUUUUUUGUCACAUUGUAUCAUCAGGCAGCAAUUCCACUCCUUAGUCCUGUGCUAUUACAGUAGCAGGUAAAGCCUUCCUGAGUAGGUCCUGAUGGCGCGAAGGUAUGUGUUUGGAAGCAGAGAGCCCAGGAUCGACAUCCUUUAUUAAAAGCCCAUCAUGGUUGGGCCCAGACGGGGAGAAGGGUCUGCUGUAGAGAUUACUUGCUACUCGAGAAGGUUUAUUAAUUUACUCUCUUCUCCCGUUUUAUAUCAGCCAACAGAGCCUAUAUCUGAUAAAUGACUAAUUACAUUUCUUCAGAGGUGCUACCAGCGAGAAAUUAGAACAGUACACACGCUUUUCCCCAUGCCCUUGGCAUUUAAUGAUCGUUAAUUAUUGCCGGAGGGUGAAGGGGAUGGUACUGCUCACUCUUUGCUGUAC